CCGAAAAUAUAGCCUUAAUUAACCCCAUUAUCCACCCCCAACUUUAACUACAAACUAAAAUAUUCCAAGAACCUAGUAAAGACGAUUGAAAAAUAAAUUAGAGCUACUAAAGUACCGCAAGGGAAAAAUGAAAUAAUAAUGAAACAACCUAAGCACAAAAAAGUAGAGUUUUACCCUCGUACCUUUUGCAUCAUGAUCUAACUAGUCCAAUCAAGCAAAAAGACUUUAAGUUUGACACCCCGAAACUAAGUGAGCUACUCUGGGGCAGCCAAAAGAGCCAACCCAUCUCUGUUGCAAAAGAGUGGGAAGACCCCCUAGUAGAAGUGACAGACUUACCGAACUUAGUGAUAGCUGGUUACUCAAUAAAAGAAUUUUAGUUCAGCCUAAAGACUACACAAUAAAAAUAAAUCUGACUUUAGAGUUAUUCAAAUAAGGUACAGCUUAUUUGAAACAGGACACAACCUAUACCGAUGGGUAAUUACUUCUUUUUCUCCUACUAAGUGGGCCUAAGAGCAGCCACCUUUUAAAAUGCGUCACAGCUUAAUUACUUUCACCACACAUCCCAAACUACACACAGAACCCGCCACCACCACUGAGUAACUCUAUACCCCUAUAGAAAAUUUUAUGUUGGAACUAGUAACAAGAAGUAGACCUUCUCUUAUAUAUAAGUGUAUGUCAGAAAGGACAACCCACUGACAAUUAAUGGCCCGAGCCCUAAUGGCACCUCAACAAGAAAACCCCAAUUCCCCAGCCAUUAACCUAACUCAAGAAUAUACCAAGAAAGAUUAAAAGGAAGAGAAGGAACUCGGCAAACUCCAAUCCCGCCUGUUUACCAAAAACAUCGCCUCUUGCAUUAAAUAAGAGGUCCAGCCUGCCCAGUGACUCACGUUCAACGGCCGCGGUAUACUAACCGUGCAAAGGUAGCACAAUCACUUGUCUCUUAAAUGGAGACUAGUAUGAAAGGCUUCACGAGGAUUUAACUGUCUCCUCUCCCUAAUCAGUGAAACUAAUCUCCCCGUGAAAAAGCAGGGAUAACCCCAUAAGACGAGAAGACCCUAUGGAGCUUUAAACACUAUAACAACUGCCCCCCCACCUCAACUUCCAGAAAAUUACCCAGCGGCAUCUUGAUUAUGAGUUUUUGGUUGGGGUGACCGCGGAGAAAAUAUACCCUCCACAAUGAGAAUCCUAAAGUUUAAACUAAGAGAAACAGCUCUAUGAAUCAACAAAUUGACAUCAAUUGACCCAACUACUUGAUCAAUGAACCAAGUUACCCUAGGGAUAACAGCGCAAUCUACUUUGAGAGCACAUAUCGACAAGUAGGCUUACGACCUCGAUGUUGGAUCAGGGUAUCCCAGUGGUGCAGCCGCUACUAAAGGUUCGUUGUCAACGAU
rnacentral:rRNA from 1 species